rfam:Candidatus Woesebacteria bacterium RIFOXYA1_FTLL_43_9 rifoxya1_full_scaffold_15296, whole genome shotgun sequence.
GAUGCCUUGGUUUUACGUACCGAAGAAGGACGCACAAGACGUGCGAUACGCGUCGGGGAGCUGUCAAGAAGCUUUGAUCCGGCGAUGUCCGAAUGGGGGAACCCCCCCGCAAUUGCGGGGAUAUCACCCUGAAACUUCCAAUUUAUUGGAACAUAUUGGUGAUAGUGGGAACUACCUGAACUGAAACAUCUAAGUAAGGUAAGGAAAAGAAAACAAUUGCCCCGAUUUAAUCGGGGUUGUGAUUCCGUCAGUAGCGGCGAGCGAAAGCGGAUCAGCCUAAACCCUGUCCGUGGGACAGGAGUAAUAAACCAAUAAAUACCAAUAAACAAAUAACCCAAUUACCAAUUGGUGCACAUUUGUAAUUUGUAUUUAUUUGUAAUUUGUUAUUCCCGCCCUGCGGGUGGGGGGUUGCGGGAGUCCAACGUGGCAGUUUAAUUGAUAGGAGAACGGUCUGGAAUGUCCGGCCAUAGAGAGUGAAAGCCUCGUAAACGAAAUUAAUUAAACGCCUAGGAAUGUCCCAAGUACCACGGUAUACAGAUGCUGUGGGAAUCCGGGGGAACCAUCCUCCAAGGCUAAAUAUACGUAGAAACCGAUAGUGAACUAGUACCGCAAGGGAAAGGUGAAAAGAAGGGUGAGACACCCAGUGAAAUAGAAACUGAAACUGUUUGCGAUCAAACCGUAAGAGCCUGUUCGUAGAACAGGAAUAAUAAGCCAAUAAGUACCAAUAAACAAAUAAUCCAAUGACCAAUCAAGCACAAAACACCUGAUUGAGAAUUGGUAUUUAUUUGCAAUUUGUAUUUAUUUGUAUUUAUUGUUCCCGCUCUGCGAGCGGGUGAUUACGUGCCUAUUGAAGAAUGAGCCGGCGAGUUGUCAUCUAGUGCAAGCUGAAGACGCGAGAGCGUAAGAGGCGUAGCGAAAGCAAGUCUUAAAAGGCGCUUACCUGCGCAAGCAGGAUUAGUACUAUGUGGCAGACCCGAAACCGAGUGAUCUAACCAUGAGCAGGGAGAAGCCCCGCGAAAGCGGGGUGGAAGCCCGAACCCGUCGUUGUUACAAUAACGUGGGAUGACUUGUGGUUAGGGGUAAAAUGCCAAACGAACUCGGAGAUAGCUGGUUCUCCCCGAAAGGUCUAUAGGGACCGUGGUGUGUUAGGUGUUAUUGGUGGUAGAGAUACUGGAUGGGAUAGCGAGGGUAACUGAGUUAUUUCAACCAAACUCCGAAUACCAGUGUACAUUAUCAUACUAGACAGCCACGUCGGGCUAAGCCGACGUGACUAAAGGGAAACAACCCAGACUCACAGCUAAGGUCUUUAAAUCUAUUUUAAGUUUCAAAGGAAGUUAUUUUCCACAGACAGCCAGGAGGUUGGCUCAGAAGCAGCCAUCCUUUAAAGAUAGCGUAACAGCUCACUGGUAAAGGAAAGUAGCACCUAAAAUUUAUCGAGGAUUAAAAAUAGUACCGAAGCUUGAGCCCGCGCAAGUUUUCGCAAGAAAAUUUGUUCGGGGGUAGGGGAGCGUUCCAAUUGCAGUGAAGCUAUGCCGUGAGGCGUGGUGGAGCGAUUGGAAGUGAGAAUGUCGGCAUGAGUAGCGUGCAAUUCCUGUAAGAAUCAGGAACGUCGUACACCCGAGGUUUUCCCGGCGAGGUUCGUCCUCCGGGAGUUAGUCGGUACCUAACCCAAGCCCCGCAACAGCGGGGGUAGGGGAUGGAAGACUGGUUAAUAUUCCAGUAUUUAGUUUGAAUCGAUUUCUGCGCAAGCAGGAUACAGUUGGGGAUUGACGGAGAAGGAUGAUGAGAGCCCAUUCGUGAAGUUGGGUGGAAGCAGUAAGAUAGUUGUCACUGGCAAAUCCAUGACGAUGUUUAAUCGAAUUGUGAUCCAAAGCCGGUCUAAAAACUGGCAAUUUUCAUUUAUUCAUUUCCCCAGAAAAGAUUCGCAACGAGAGUCAAACUAAGCCGUACCUAAACCAACACAGGUGGGUGGGGUGAGUAACCCAAGACGGGCGAGAGAAAAAAGCUUAAGGAACUCGGCAAAAAAACUAGACGUAAGUUCGCAAGAUGUCUUGCCCCGCAAUUGCGGGGUUGCAAUAAAAAUUUAUUAGCCGACUGUUUAUCAAAAACACAGGUCCGUGCAAAAGCGAAUAGCUUAAGUAUACGGGCCGACGCCUGCCCAGUGCUGGUAAGUUAAACGGAUCCNNNNNNNNNNNNNNNNNNNNNNNNNNNNNNNNNNNNNNNNNNNNNNNNNNNNNNNUAACUAUAAGCCGAAAGGCCAGUUGUAGUUAUUAAAUUUGGCUAUAUGCUGGAAACACUCAAGUAUCCGGUAGUAGUCGCCUCAGGCGACUAAAAAUCUAUCCGGUGGAGUCAAUCAGCAGGAAAGAUCCCGAUUUGAUCGGGGAAUCCUCAGAGACUAUACGCCAAAGUACAUUCAGUUAAUAUGAACGUACAUGAUAUAGUCCGACCUUUACAGCGAUGUAAAGACUACGUAUUUAAUCGUAGCGAGCAACAAAAAUGAACUGUUCUACGGUAAGGGCUAUAAAUACUGCCGUAGUAAAAUCUAUCUAUAUGCUGGAAACACUCAAGUAUCCGGUAGUAGUCGCCUCAGGCGACUGAAAAUCUAUCCGGUGGAGUCAAUCAGCAGGAAAGACCUCGUAAUAAUUAUUAAUUACUAAUUAUUCUAAUUUGUCAUCCUCGCGAAGGCGGGGAUCCAGACUGGAUUCCCGAUCAGGUCGGGAAUGACACAAACUUAGAUUAAAUUGAUUGAUAUGUUUAUGAGGAAUCCUCAGAGACUACACGAUAGACCCCCGCAACUGCGGGGUGAAGAUAUAGUCCAAAACUCACAAUGCAAAUACAUUGGAUUUUGAGCGAAGCCCCUCGUCGGGUAAGGAAUUUGCCCGAAUAAAACCAACUUAUAUCGGUGAAAGCUAUAGUCACAAUCAUGUGAACUGGUUGUGAUAUGCUAAUACCGAGGGAAGUCGGGGAGUGCCAUCUGGUACCCCCUUGACCCUGUAACGACUGAUCCGAAAGGAGAGAUCCGCCUCAGGCGGAUAAUACGUUGGCGCUUGUUUAAACAGUCAAUUAUGGAGUUUGCGUCAUAUAUUUCUGGUUUUACUGACGGAGAAGGAACUUUUUCCAUCUCUUUCAGUUUACGCAAGAAAUUUACUUUGGGUUUAGAAGUUAGACCAAGCUUUUCUAUUUCUCAACACAAAAGAAACCUGGAAACAUUAAAAAGUAUCCAGAAGUAUUUUGGCGUUGGGGCAAUUAGGUUCUCUAAAAGAGACCAAAAUUACAAAUAUGAAGUAAGGUCGAUUUCUGACAUUGUCAAAAGGAUAAUCCCUCAUUUUGAGAGAUAUCCCUUGAAGACGACAAAAGCAAACGAUUUUCGGAUUUUUAAGAAGAUUUGCAAGGAAAUUACUUUAGGCAACCACCUCAAAAGUGGUCACUUAAAAGGAAUUAUUACCCAAGCUUAUCGGAUGAAUGAAUCCGGGAAAAGAAAAUAUGAGAUAUCGUAUCUCCUAAAAUUGAUAACAAGAUGAAGAUAUAGUCUGAACAGUUGCGAAAGCAACUGACAACAUGUAUUUCGAAGUUCCGACCUGCAUGAAUGGCGUCACGAGCUAAUAACUGUCUUGAGCUUUUACUCGGCGAAAUUGCGAUGGCUGUGAAGACGCGGCCUAUUUCCACUUGGACAAAAAGACCCCGUGGAGCUUUACUGUAAGUAAGUUGUGACUUGCUCGUUUUAUAUGUCUAGAGUAGGAGGGACCCCGCAAUUGCGGGGGAAAGUGUAACACCUCUCUUUGGAACGCUGUAAGUCUUACCUGAGUCGCCUGCAUACGGCGACGGGGAAACAGCUUGCCGGGCAGUUUUACUGGGGCGGUACCCUGCUAAAAGGUAACGCAGGGGCACAAAGGUUGGCUUGCGAUCGAUGGAAACGAUCGUGUAAGCGUAAAGGUAUAUGCCAGCUUGAUUGCGAGAGCGACAGCUCAAGCAAGUACGAAAGUAGGUCUUAGUGAUCCUCCGAUACCAUGUGGGUGGUACGGAGCUUAACGGAUAAAAGCUACCCCGGGGAUAACAGAGUAGUCACGCCCGAGCGUCCAUAGCGACGGCGUGGAUCGCUACCUCGAUGUCGGCUUGACCCAAUUUGGGUCCGGGCCCUCAGGAGAGAGAUCUCUUGAGCAAAUUCGGCUUUCAGAUGAAAUCUG